rnacentral:tRNA from 1 species
GCCGCAAAAGCUAAAUCAUAAGCGGYGGUCUUGUAAACCAACGAUUGGAGCUACUAUACUCCUUGCGGCA